GAUGAAACUAAAAUUGAAGCAAUUAAAACUUGGCCCCAACCCACCAAUUUACAACAAGUGCGAAGUUUCCUUGGUCUUGCAGGUUUUUAUCGUUGCUUUGUCAAAAACUUUAGCACUAUUGCCGCCCCUUUGCAUGCUUUGAGUAAGAAGAAUACUCCUUUUGUUUGGGGAACUUUGCAAUCAACCGCUUUUGAUGAGCUCAAGUCUUUGCUUACUCAUGCUCCGAUUCUUGCUUUGCCUAACUUUGACAAAACUUUUGAGGUUCAUUGUGAUGCAAGUGGUACCGGAAUUGGCAGAGUUUUAUUGCAAGAAAAAUGA
rnacentral:rRNA from 1 species